rnacentral:rRNA from 1 species
GACAGAGGAGCCAAGCGUUGUCCGGACUGACUGGGCGUAAAGCGCCCGCAGGCGGCCGUGCACGUGGGGUGUGAAAGCUCGCGGCUUAACUGCGAGAGGCCAUCCCAUACGGCGCGGCUCGAGCCGUCCAGAGGCCGGUGGAAUUGCCGGUGUAGUGGUGAAAUGCGUAGAGAUCGGCAGGAAGACCAGUGGCGAAGGCGGGUCUCUGGACAGUUCCUGACACUGAGGCACGAAGGCCAGGGGAGCAAACGGG